UACAGAGGUCUCAACCGUUGUUCGGAUUCAUUGGGCGUAAAGGGUGCGUAGGCGGUCGCGCAAGUCGGAUGUGAAAUCUCAGGGCUCAACCCUGAAACUGCAUUCGAUACUGCGUGGCUAGAGUGCUGGAGGGGAGACUGGAAUUUACGGUGUAGCAGUGAAAUGCGUAGAUAUCGUAAGGAAGACCAGUGGCGAAGGCGAGUUCCUGGACAGUUACUGACACUGAGGCACGAAGGCCAGGGGAGCAAACGGG
rnacentral:rRNA from 1 species